rnacentral:lncRNA from 1 species
AAAAUAUCUGAUAUAGAAAGCAUAUUGGAUUCUGUAGUCAUUCAGCAUACAUGUAUUAAAAGGAACAGCAUUUCAAGAUUUCAAGGCAUAUUGAACCAACUAUAAGAAAAAAUUGAUUGAUAUACGAUAUGAUCAUCACUCUCUUCCUUCUGUGAUGGGGCACAGUGAUAUGUGCUUACAGGGAAGAAUAAACAAAACAAUGGGCAAGCUUAUCCAUUAUUUCCUUGGCCAACUCGCCCACAAGGGUCAGUUGAAAGGAGUGCAGUAUCCAGUGGAAUGUGAAUCAUUUGUGAGGCUAUUGUGUCUCUACUGAGUGCAAAGUUCUACGCCAAGACAGUAAGAGCAGGAGCAGCUACGUGCAUGGCAGCAGAGAAAUGUACUGAUCACCAUGGAGGAAGAGGGGAAAAGAC